rnacentral:lncRNA from 1 species
GGGCCUCUUGGAUGGCCGCGAAGGUUCGGCCCCGGGCGUCGGUCUUUUCCUCGCCGCGUGUUGCUGAAUGUCGGCAUCUGUUAGUCUCACUCUCGACGGCAUGCCUGCAAUUUCAACGAAAGAUUAGCACAAGUCCGAAGACGGAUAAAAAAGCCAGAAGACGACCGACAGACCGAACUGUACCUAAGCGAAGAACCGAACUCAGGCCAG